CGAGGUCUUGAGUUGCGAGUAAAAUCAAAUAUUAGAGUUGGUUCGUUGAUUGUUCUGUAAGAAAAAAACAUGUCGAGCUGUGGCUGUAUCCCAAGCUGCAACUGCAGUGCCAACAACUGCUCAUGCAGCCGUUCUGAACUGAGCUACCUUGAGGCCCCCAAGCCUCUUGUUCUUGGUGUUGCUCCCAUCAAAGAGGGCUUUGAGAUGGGGGCGGCCGGAGCCGAGGGAGAUGGCUGCAACUGCAACUGCAAAUGCGGCGACAAGUGCUCUUGCAACCCAUGCAAAUGCUAGACAAAACCGUCGGCGUCUCGCCGAGAGCUGAGCUUCUAAUAUGAAGCUUAAUUUACAUAAUGGUGUUGUUGUUGUUGGGCUUUGUUUGUGUCUGCAAGGUGUUUGACGAAAUGCCGCUAAGUAAUAUCUGAGAAAUAAAAAGCAAACAUGAUUAUGAAUGGAACGUCCUAUACGUAUAUCGUGUUUUCUAAUGUCA